rnacentral:rRNA from 1 species
UACAGAGGUCUCGAGCGUUGUUCGGAUUCAUUGGGCGUAAAGGGUGCGUAGGUGGCGCUGUAAGUCAGGUGUGAAAUUUCGGAGCUUAACUCCGAAACUGCAUUUGAUACUGCGGUGCUUGAGGACUGGAGAGGAGACUGGAAUUUACGGUGUAGCAGUGAAAUGCGUAGAGAUCGUAAGGAAGACCAGUGGCGAAGGCGGGUCUCUGGACAGUUCCUGACACUGAGGCACGAAGGCCAGGGGAGCAAACAGG